rnacentral:ribozyme from 1 species
AAUCAGAAAAGAAGGAGUAGGUAUCUCCUCACCUUUUUCUCAUUUGCUUCUUUUUUUCUAUUUUUCUUCUUCUUCUCUUUCUCUAUUUUGUUCUCUCUAUUCUUUUUUCAAAACAAAAAAGCGGGUGUCCCGUAUUCGAAUUUAGCCUACAAAGUGGACACCUUUGAUAUUUCACAAAAUUCCAUUGGUUCUCCCGCCUGUAGUGCGGGUGAAAUACAAGGGGAAAGAGAAUUACAACAAGGUUCUUGUCCCUUUACGGUGCCCUCAGAGGUGGAUAAAAAGGAUGAUCCCUGUGAUCCCACCCUUUGUAAUUACCAAACAACGAUCUCCACCCCAUGUGAAAAUGCCAUUACCAAAUAUUGCAAAAACUAUUAUCGGAUUGAUGAGAAUGCGUGUGCGGAUUUUAAUGAUCUGAU